rnacentral:lncRNA from 1 species
UCCCAUAUGGAUCACCAUUGGAGGGUAUCUACCUUGGUGUCUUGUAAAGAUCACUUUUGUACCGGAUCCUCAUAUUCAAGAAGGUAUAAUUUCUUACCUAAUAUGUAUGCUUGUUUUGUUUGAUUGAAGUCUACAAGGCCGAUCCAGGGUUUAUGUUUUGGUUGACUUGUUUUAGGUAUUAAAACUUAUUUUAUGCAUGUCAAAAAAUUUUAAAAAUUAUAUUCCGCUGCAUGACUGCAACCCAACAAUUUUGUCCCUUACUUUUGUUAUAAAUA